UCCGGCCAUAUCACGUUGAAACACCGGCUCUCGUACGAGCACCGAAGAUAAACAACGUCGGACUUGGUCAGUACUUAAAUGGGUGACCGCUUAGG